UCUUGUUGAGAGCUGACGAACUGUUUGAGCUCUGAAUGAGCAUGAAUGUGGAUUCUACUACAGAGAUCUGAGGGAAAAACGAAGGAGAACAGAUGCUUUUUCAUUGAGAAUCUGCUCGUUCUGCAAACAGACUCACAGGUUCAAUGAAGAAUGUUGGGCUGGACAGCUCUUCUCUCAGUAUUAACUGUGACUCUCUGCUGUCCUGCAGUGGGUGAGACUAAAUUCACUGUGAGUGUAGAACAGGACGUCUACCAGGCAGAGGAAAACAGUAACAUCACGAUGACAUGGCUGCUCCAUUUCAGCAUCAACUCGUCUCGUGACGUCGUGUUUAUAGACUUAAUGAAUGUAAAAAGGAGGACACAGAUUUUCUUCUAUAACAGUGACAGAGACACUGAGAUUUAUCCAGAUGAGUUUUUCAGGGAACGACUGCAGUGUGACCCACAGCUCGCCAGGAAAGGACAGUUUAAAUGUCUCUUAACUGAUCUGAGGCUCAGUGACUCGGGUACAUAUCACCUCAGUGUCGUCCUUAACAGAGAAAAAAGCUCCAAACCAUGUGACCUCAGUG